GCCAGGUAUGGUGGCGCACACCUGUAAUCCCAGCACCUGGGAAGGCUGAGACAGGAGGAUCGUGAGUUUGAGGCCAGCUUGGACAACAUAACAAGACCCUGUCUCAA
rnacentral:sRNA from 1 species